rnacentral:rRNA from 1 species
UACAGAGGGGGCAAGCGUUAUUCGGAAUUAUUGGGCGUAAAGGGCGCGUAGGCGGCAUGGCAAGUGGAUGGUGAAAUCCCUCGGCUUAACCGAGGAACUGCCGUCCAAACUGCUUCGCUUGAGACCGGGAGAGGUGAGUGGAAUUCCCAGUGUAGCGGUGAAAUGCGUAGAUAUUGGGAGGAACACCAGUGGCGAAGGCGGCUCACUGGACCGGUACUGACGCUGAUGCGCGAAAAGCGUGGGGAGCAA